UAGCGUAUAUUAAAGUUGUUGCGGUUAAAAAGCUCGUAGUUGGAUUUCUGUUGAGGACAGCCGGUCCGCACCAUGUGCGUGUAUCUGGUUUGGCCUCGGCAUCCUCUCGGAAAACGUCUCUGCGCUUAAUUGCGUGGAGCGGGGUCCGAGACUUUUACUUUGAGGAAAUUAGAGUGUUCACGGCAGGCAUCCCGCCAUGAAUAUAUUAGCAUGGAAUAAUAAUAUAGGAUCUUGGUUCUAUUUUGUUGGUUUCUAGGGCUAAGAUAAUGAUUAAUAGGGACAAUUGGGGGCAUUUGUAUUAAGGCGUC
rnacentral:rRNA from 1 species